rnacentral:miRNA from 1 species
UAUAUUGUACGACUCUCAUCGUA